AUUGAACGCUGGCGGUAGGCCUAACACAUGCAAGUCGAGCGGUUGAAUCGAGCUUGCUCCUGGAUUCAGAGGCGGACGGGUGAGUAAUGCAUCGGAAUCUGCCUGGUAGUGGGGGAUAGCGUCCGGCAAAGGGCGCUAAUACCGCAUACGUCGUGGGGGAGUAAGUGGGGGAUCUUCGGAAAUCCCGCUAUCAGAUGAGCAUAGGUCGGAUUAGCUAGUUGGUGGGGUAAAGGCCUACCAAGGCGACGAUCCGUAACUGGUCUGAGAGGAUGAUCAGUCACACUGGAACUGAGACACGGUACAGACGCCUACGGGAGCCAGCAGUGGGGAAUAUUGGACAAGGGGCGAAGACCUUAGCCAGCCAUGCCGCGUGUGUGAAGAAGGUCUUCGGAUGGUAGAGCACUUCAAGUUGGGAGUAAGGGCAGUAAGUUAAGACCGUGCUGUUUUGACGUUACCAACAGAAGAAGCACCGGCUAACUUCGUG
rnacentral:rRNA from 1 species